CAAUGCGAUACCUAGUGCGAAUUGCAGAAUUCAGUGAAUCAUCGAGUCUUUGAACGCAAAUGGCGUUCUCGGGGUCUUCCCGAGAGCACGUCUGCCUGAGUGCCCGUUUCCUGUGGCCGCUGCAGUUGCCUGCAGCGGCGAGUUGAAGCGUCGCCCUGCCCAGUCGGGUGGGGCGUCCCUUGAAAGAGGGCAGGCAAAUGCUGCAAGGUCUGCAUGGUGGGCUUAGUCACAGAAUGGGGUAUUGUAAGUGGUGGGCUUAGUCACAGAAUGGGGUACUGUAAGUGGUGUAAAGCGACUGAGCCACUGUCGAUGUGUCCUGCACCCCCCCCGGUCGGCGUGUCCUUGUGGAUUGAAGCGACGGAUGACGUGGCACCACCAAUGUGGGCCUCAGGUCAGAUGAGGCGACCCGCUGAAUUUAAGCAUAUUAAUAA
rnacentral:rRNA from 1 species